ACGCUCGACACCUACGGGUGGCAGCAGUGGGGAAUAUUGCACAAUGGGGGAAACCCUGAUGCAGCGACGCCGCGUGAGUGAAGAAGUAUUUCGGUAUGUAAAGCUCUAUCAGCAGGGAAGAAGAUGACGGUACCUGAGUAAGAAGCCCCGGCUAACUACGUGCUAGCAGCCGCGGUAAUCUGAGCGGGCUGGCAAGGC
rnacentral:rRNA from 1 species